rnacentral:rRNA from 1 species
CCUACGGGGGCUGCAGUGGGGAAUAUUGGACAAUGGGCGAAAGCCUGAUCCAGCCAUGCCGCGUGUGUGAAGAAGGCCUUCGGGUUGUAAAGCACUUUCAGUGGGGAAGAAAGCCUUGGGGCUAAUACCCUCGAGGAAGGACAUCACCCACAGAAGAAGCACCGGCUAACUCCGUGCCAGCAGCCGCGGUAAUACGGAGGGUGCGAGCGUUAAUCGGAAUUACUGGGCGUAAAGCGCGCGUAGGCGGUCUGAUAAGCCGGUUGUGAAAGCCCCGGGCUCAACCUGGGAACGGCAUCCGGAACUGUCAGGCUAGAGUGCAGGAGAGGAAGGUAGAAUUCCCGGUGUAGCGGUGAAAUGCGUAGAGAUCGGGAGGAAUACCAGUGGCGAAGGCGGCCUUCUGGACUGACACUGACGCUGAGGUGCGAAAGCGUGGGUAGCAAACAGGAUUAGAUCCCCCAGUAGUC